CAGAACACUCGUGCUUGUUUGUGUUAAACAAAUUAGUGCCACAAUAGCCCCGUCCCCCUGUGGAGACCUAAACAUUGUACGACACGAGAUGACUUUGUUCUUUGGGUGCCUACUGCUAGACAGACGCAUCCUGUUGUGAUAAAGGAGACCAGCUGGAUUUAGGACUGCGGCGGCGUGUUUGCGGUACGACUGACCAUAUGUGAUUUUCUGUCACGUUUGCAGCUUUAACGGUAAAGCUCUGAAGAAUUUGCACUUUGAUUCGUGUCUUUCCACCCGCUUGGUAACAAAAUAAGAGGUGGCUUUGUGCAGCUGCUUUGCACUAACGCAGGUCACGCUGCGGGCUCUGCAAAGCACAGGGAGAGCUCUUGCAUGCUUGUCCUUAAGAUGCGUUCGGGGCUGAUUUUUUCUUUGCGCUGAUUUGUUUGGGGGCACGUUUCCUUUUGUUGCGCUGUUGUCUUUUUGUUUGUUUUGUUUUGUUCUGAAGGAGGAAAUGACUGCGACCAGAAACUACAUUUCAUCAGGGACGUAAUUCUGAAUUCCUGCUCUGAGCGUGGGCUUUAUCUGGCUUCACCAGAACCGAAUAAUUCUGUUAAUUGGUAUUGUCUUCCUGCCUGCUCUGAGAAAUGCCCGUCUGAAGCCUCUGCAGAGUCUGAGAACAGAAGGGUAUCUGCUUGUGAGAGGAGCCUGACAGAAGGCAGAUAGAACUUGGAGUUUGGGGCCCGUUUUCCCUAAGAAGGAGCGCUUUUAUUUGUUGCUGUCCGCAGCUACGAUUUGGCCAUAAAGCGUACGGCAGAAAGGAACCGAAGGUACCUGCAGCAUUUGGCAGAAGGAAGGAACCAACGUUAAUAUUUGUCUUCAGUUUUUUGAAGGCAGAGGGGGGAGGAGCAGGAGCCUCUUCUCAGCCAGCGCCGCUGAGAAAUUACUGCAGCCUGAAGAGCAGUUUGCAUUUCUUGGUUGUCUGGACUUGAGAGGAGUGUGUGUAGGAGCAAAGGCCAGCGGUGGUCACAAGGAUGGAAAGGAAAAACAAAGAGUACAAUUCCUUUUUUGCUCUGUGUAAGUCUUCCUUAGAACUCACAGUGACUUUAUUAUCAUCUUUCAUGGGUUACGUUUGGC
ensembl:lncRNA